rnacentral:rRNA from 1 species
GACGAACGCUGGCGGCGUGCCUAAUACAUGCAAGUCGAGCGGACAGACGCGGAUCUUGCUGGUCUCACGUUAGCGGAAGACGGGAGAAUCACACGUGGAUACCGUACCUGUAAGACGGAGAUAAUCUCGAGAAACCGGAUAAAAUAGCGGAGGAGAUAUUGCAGCGCGGGGGUCGAUGGUAAAUGUCGGUGUUGGUGUAACGUAUAGAUGGAUAUGCGCCGCAUUAGCUAGUUGUUGAGGUAAAGGCUUACCAAGGCAACGAUGCGUAGCCGAGCUGAGAGGGUGAUCGGCCACACUGGAACUGAGACACGGUCCAUACUCCUACGGGAGGCAGCAGUAGGGAAUCUUCCGCAAUGGGCGAAAGCCUGACGGAGCAACGCCGCGUGAGUGAUGAAGGUCUUCGGAUCGUAAAACUCUGUUAUUAGGUAAGAACAAAUGUGUAAGUAACUAUGCACGUCUUGACGGUACCUAAUCAGAAAGCCACGGCUAACUACGUG